AGAGUUUGAUCCUGGCUCAGGACGAACGCUGGCGGCGUGCUUAACACAUGCAAGUCGAACGAGAGCGUAGAGAAAGCUUGCUUUUUCUACAAUCUAGUGGCAAACGGGUGAGUAACGCGUAAACAACCUGCCCUACGGAUGGGGACAACAGCUGGAAACGGCUGCUAAUACCGAAUACGUUCCGAAAGUCGCAUGACUAUCGGAAGAAAGGAUGGCCUCUAUUUAUAAGCUAUCGCCGGAGGAGGGGUUUGCGUCUGAUUAGCUAGUUGGAGGGGUAACGGCCCACCAAGGCGACGAUCAGUAGCCGGUCUGAGAGGAUGAACGGCCACAUUGGAACUGAGACACGGUCCAGACUCCUACGGGAGGCAGCAGUGGGGAAUCUUCCGCAAUGGGCGAAAGCCUGACGGAGCAACGCCGCGUGAGUGAAGAAGGAUUUCGGUUCGUAAAGCUCUGUUGUUAGGGAAGAAUGAUUGUGUAGUAACUAUACACAGUAGAGACGGUACCUAACCAGAAAGCCACGGCUAACUACGUGCCAGCAGCCGCGGUAAUACGUAGGUGGCAAGCGUUGUCCGGAAUUAUUGGGCGUAAAGGGCGCGCAGGCGGCUUCUUAAGUCUGUCUUAAAAGUGCGGGGCUUAACCCCGUGAUGGGAUGGAAACUGGGAAGCUCAGAGUAUCGGAGAGGAAAGCGGAAUUCCUAGUGUAGCGGUGAAAUGCGUAGAUAUUAGGAGGAACACCAGUGGCGAAAGCGGCUUUCUGGACGAAAACUGACGCUGAGGCGCGAAAGCCAGGGGAGCGAACGGGAUUAGAUACCCCGGUAGUCCUGGCCGUAAACGAUGGGUACUAGGUGUAGGAGGUAUCGACCCCUUCUGUGCCGGAGUUAACGCAAUAAGUACCCCGCCUGGGGAGUACGACCGCAAGGUUGAAACUCAAAGGAAUUGACGGGGGCCCGCAC
rnacentral:rRNA from 1 species